CUUUAUUCGGCUUUUAUUAUUCCAUUCAAGUUAUUUUUAAUUGAUUUCAUUUAAUCAGUAGACGGACAGAAAAAAAAAUUAUCCGAAGAAGAUGCAGUCUUGACUUUAAAAGAGAAAAUAUUUCAGCGAAUGAGAUGAAGAAAGAGAACAAUUUUUAAGCAUAAUAAAUACUGGUCGACAUGAGGUCGAAGAAAAUGCAUUUCUCCCUUCACGGCAUGGAAGAAAGAGUGAACUUCGUGAAAAUGAUGCCUUUGUGGUUAACAUGCAAUGCAAUGAAAUCUAGGAAUGGACGAUGCCGAAAUGUACUGUAUAUUUUCUACGUAACAAAAAGGAAAAGAAAUGCACUAUUUUUAUCUUCUUCACGUGCAUUCUACA